rnacentral:rRNA from 2 species
GGACUACAGGGGUUUCUAAUCCUGUUUGAUCCCCACGCUUUCGUGCCUCAGCGUCAGUUGUAGUGUUGUGAACUGCCUUCGCAAUGGGUGUUCUGUGUCAUAUCUAAGCAUUUCACCGCUACACGACACAUUCCAUUCACAUCCAAUACACUCAAGAAUAACAGUAUCAAUGGCAGUUCUAUAGUUAAGCUAUAGGUUUUCACCACUGACUUGUCAUUCCGCCUACGCACCCUUUAAACCCAGUGAAUCCGGAUAACGCUUGGAUCCUCCGUAUUACCGCGGCUGCUGGCAC